rnacentral:rRNA from 1 species
CCUACGGGUGGCUGCAGUGGGGAAUAUUGCACAAUGGGCGCAAGCCUGAUGCAGCCAUGCCGCGUGUGUGAAGAAGGCCUUCGGGUUGUAAAGCACUUUCAGCGGGGAGGAAGGCGGUGAGGUUGAUAACCUCAUCGAUUGACGUUACCCGCAGAAGAAGCACCGGCUAACUCCGUGCCAGCAGCCGCGGUAAUACGGAGGGUGCAAGCGUUAAUCGGAAUUACUGGGCGUAAAGCGCACGCAGGCGGUCUGUCAAGUCGGAUGUGAAAUCCCCGGGCUCAACCUGGGAACUGCAUUCGAAACUGGCAGGCUAGAGUCUGGUAGAGGGGGGUAGAAUUCCAGGUGUAGCGGUGAAAUGCGUAGAGAUCUGGAGGAAUACCGGUGGCGAAGGCGGCCCCCUGACAAAGACUGACGCUCAGGUGCGAAAGCGUGGGGAGCAAACAGGAUUAGAUACCCGAGUAGUC